rnacentral:rRNA from 1 species
AGAGUUUGAUCCUGGCUCAGGAUGAACGCUGGCGGUCUGCUUAACACAUGCAAGUCGAACGGUGUCUUCGGACACAGUGGCGGACGGGUGAGUAACACGUGAGAACCUGCCUUAAGGUCGGGGAUAACAGUUGGAAACGACUGCUAAUACCGGAUGUGCCUACGGGUGAAAGAUUUAUUGCCUGAAGAUGGGCUCGCGUCUGAUUAGCUAGUUGGAGUGGUAACGGCACACCAAGGCGACGAUCAGUAGCUGGUCUGAGAGGAUGAUCAGCCACACUGGGACUGAGACACGGCCCAGACUCCUACGGGAGGCAGCAGUGGGGAAUUUUCCGCAAUGGGCGAAAGCCUGACGGAGCAAGACCGCGUGAGGGAGGAAGGCUCUUGGGUUGUAAACCUCUUUUGUCAGGGAAGAACACAAUGACGGUACCUGACGAAUCAGCAUCGGCUAACUCCGUGCCAGCAGCCGCGGUAAUACGGAGGAUGCAAGCGUUAUCCGGAAUUAUUGGGCGUAAAGCGUCCGCAGGUGGUUGUACAAGUCUGCUGUCAAAGCGCGGAGCUUAACUCCGUAAAGGCGGUGGAAACUGUGCGACUAGAGUUCGGUAGGGGUCGCGGGAAUUCCCAGUGUAGCGGUGAAAUGCGUAGAUAUUGGGAAGAACACCGGUGGCGAAAGCGCGCGACUGGACCGAGACUGACACUCAUGGACGAAAGCUAGGGGAGCGAAAGGGAUUAGAUACCCCUGUAGUCCUAGCCGUAAACGAUGGGUACUAGGUGUUGCCCGUAUCGACCCGGGCAGUGCCGUAGCUAACGCGUUAAGUACCCCGCCUGGGGAGUACGCACGCAAGUGUGAAACUCAAAGGAAUUGACGGGGGCCCGCACAAGCGGUGGAGUAUGUGGUUUAAUUCGAUGCAACGCGAAGAACCUUACCAGGGCUUGACAUGUCGCGAAUCCUUGUGAAAGCAGGGAGUGCCUUCGGGAGCGCGAACACAGGUGGUGCAUGGCUGCCGUCAGCUCGUGUCGUGAGAUGUUGGGUUAAGUCCCGCAACGAGCGCAACCCUCGUCGUUAGUUGCCAGCAUUUAGUUGGGCACUCUGACGAGACUGCCGGUGACAAACCGGAGGAAGGUGGGGAUGACGUCAAGUCAGCAUGCCCCUUACGCCCUGGGCUACACACGUACUACAAUGCUUCGGACAAAGGGUUGCAAGUCGGCGACGACAAGCUAAUCUCGUAAACCGAGGCUCAGUUCAGAUUGCAGGCUGCAACUCGCCUGCAUGAAGGCGGAAUCGCUAGUAAUCGCAGGUCAGCAUACUGCGGUGAAUACGUUCCCGGGCCUUGUACACACCGCCCGUCACACCAUGGAAGUUGGCCACGCCCGAAGUCGUUACUCCAACCGUAAGGAGGAGGACGCCGAAGGCAGGGCUGAUGACUGGGGUGAAGUCGUAACAAGGUAGCCGA